CCUACGGGAGGCAGCAGUGGGGAAUAUUGCACAAUGGGGGAAACCCUGAUGCAGCGACGCCGCGUGAGUGAAGCAGUAUUUCGGUAUGUAAAGCUCUAUCAGCAGGGCAGAAAAUGACGGUACCUGAUUAAGAAGCCCCGGCUAACUACGUGCCAGCAGCCGCGGUAAUACGUAGGGGGCAAGCGUUAUCCGGAUUUACUGGGGGUAAAGGGUGCGUAGACGGCAGCGCAAGUCUGGAGUGAAAUGCCGGGGCUUAACCCCGGGAAUGCCUUGGAAACUUUGCAGCUUGAAAGCAGGAGAGGUAAGAGGGAUUCCUAGGGUAGCGGGGAAAUGCGUA
rnacentral:rRNA from 1 species